AUUGAACGCUAGCGGCAUGCUUAACACAUGCAAGUCGAACGGUAACAGGGGAGAGCUUGCUCUCUCGCUGACGAGUGGCGGACGGGUGAGUAACGCGUAGGAAUCUACCUUGUAGUGGGGGACAACCCGGGGAAACUCGGGUUAAUACCGCAUAAUCUCUACGGAGCAAAGCGGGGGACCUUCGGGCCUCGUGCUAUAAGAUGAGCCUGCGUUGGAUUAGCUAGUUGGUGGGGUAAAGGCCUACCAAGGCGACGAUCCAUAGCUGGUCUGAGAGGACGAUCAGCCACACUGGGACUGAGACACGGCCCAGACUCCUACGGGAGGCUG
rnacentral:rRNA from 1 species